AUAACCGAAAGGCAAAAGAAAACAAUAAAACACUCAUAUGACAUACCUUCAUCUAUCUUCAUCGUCUCCAUCUCCAUCCUGCCGUCUUCUCUCUCUCAAAUCUUCCUUAAUUCCCUCACAUUCUCUGUCCUGCCACCAUCAUCACCGCCACCAGCCGCCGCCUUCCCGCCGCCACAAACAAGAUCAAAAAAGAAUCACGGAUUAAACAAAGUUGUGAAGUUUGACUUUGAUGGAGCAAACGGAUUGUGGGUAUUUAUGUUCUUAUGAAAUGGUUAACCAUGAUAUUUCAGUUUGUAGUGAAAUAUUGAAGAUGAAAUCUGAAAGUAUUCAAGUGGAUAUGGAACCUUUCUUGCAUCUCACCAACAAAGAUCACAAAUAUAAUUCAAGAUCUAAUUUGCCAAGGAGUUUAUCCAAAAAACGGGAAGAAAAGAAGAAAAUGAUGAGUGAUCCAAGCAUUGACAAUGAAAGAGAUACUAUCAUUUCGCUUAAAGGGACCAAAGUGGAAAAUGGAGAACAAAUCCCCUUCUUCCUCGCGCCGCGAAUUUUUUCACGCCGGUUUUUUUUUUUUAUCAUGGCGCUGGGGGGGCGGUGUGGGGGGCUCCAUACCGGCGCUAUGGCCUUCACCGCGCCCCAUUACAUACGACCUUAGCUGGAAAGUUUGGCAACAUGUCGGAAACAUCGGCACCAGUAUCCACAGGGACCAACGAGCCACAUACCCACCACCAAAUUAGCAUCAUUACCACCACCGCCACCGGAACACCAACGAAAAGCAAACUCAUUGGCAAAAGAUCAACCAGUUUUAAACAAACAUCCAUCAUCAACCCGACAAGAAUCGUCUUCUUUUUUGCCACAUUGUCAAGCAUGGGAACCAUCCUACUCAUAUACUUCACCCUCUCCAUGGCAAAGUACAACGGGGACAGAAAGUUGCUCGCUUGACGGCAAAUAAACACACGCAGGGAUGGAUCUACCCAGAAGCCACUGGUGUUGCCACUGGUGUCAAGCGACACCAGUGACCUUUUUUUGGCGUGAUACUUGUUUUUUUAUGUUUUAUAUACAUAUCCAACACGAGUGACACCAAUUUACUGAUUAUUUUCAGAGGGUGGCACUAGUAAAAAAAAGAGAAAUUAUGCUUUACUUUUUCUUGAUGUUUUGUAUAUAAAGGAAAUAUUAUUUCAUCAUGUUAUUAUGUCAAUAGUUUUAGUUUUUUGAAAUA